rnacentral:rRNA from 1 species
AGCAGCCGCGGUAAUUCCAGCUCCAAUAGCGUAUAUUAAAGUUGAUGCAGUUAAAAAGCUCGUAGUUGAAUUUCGGGGUUCUACCGUUGGUCGGGCUAACAAGUCUGUACUGGUGUGUAGAAUUUCUACCUUCUGGGGAACUAUCAUGUUAUUAAUUUAGCGUGGUAGGAAACCAGGACCUUUACCUUGAAAAAAUUAGAGUGUUCAAAGCAGGCUUAGGUCUGAAUACAUUAGCAUGGAAUAAUAGAAUAGGACGGUGGUCCUGUUUUGUUGGUUUCUGAAUCACCGUAAUGAUUAAUAGGGAUAGUUGGGGGCAUUAGUAUUCAAUUGUCAGAGGUGAAAUUCUUGGAUUUAUUGAAGACUAACUUCUGCGAAAGCAUUUGCCAAGGAUGUUUUCAUUAAUCAAGAACGAAAGUUAGGGGAUCGAAGACGAUCAGAUACCGUCGUAGUCUUAACCAUAAACUAUGCCGACUAGGGAUCGGACGAUGUUAAAUUUUAUUGACUCGUUCGGCGCCUUACG